CACCAUCAGUCAGCGUGGCCCAGGGGCACCGUAUAGCCUUGAGCCAGCGCUGCCCUGAAGCUGAAGUUGCAAGGAACAAAAGAAAAAAUUGAAGUGAACCUGAACUCAUAGGCUGCAAUGCUUGUGGCACGUUUGUGUAUAUGACUGAAAACUACAAGCAAAAAAAGUAAACUUACCCUAAGCCUUAAGGAAAAAGUAUGAUAUUAUUGCAAUGUUCACUGAAGAUAGACAGUCUGGAAGACUUUCAGUGAAAUCCAAGAGGGCUCCAGACUGAGUGGCUGCAGCAAACACCACCAAAGCAUGCAGCACAUGACAGAAGACAAGGUUUCUGCAAGUAUCAGUGGACUCCAAAGAGAGAGUGCUACUCAACCCGAAUAUUUUGAACCCGAAUAAUGAAAUGAUUAGCUGAGAAUAGCUAGUUUCAACAUAUCAACUUGCAUAGGAAUACGCCGCUGUAAUAAUAAAGCAUCAAGGUGUUGAACCAGAAAUCUGAUGGCCUGGAUUAUAGUGAAGCAGCUACAGCUGACUUGUCACAAAAGAUGGAACAAUUUUAUUUUUCCCAGGCUCUGCCUCAGACAGCUCAUUGGUUCUGCCAUGGUUUGCUCUUUUCAUAGACUCACUUUCCUUUUGGAAGACUUUCUUCUGUGUCUGAAUAUUCUGUUUCAGGCUAUCUUUUAUGGAUGAUGUCCUAAAGCGCUAUAGCUUUUUUGCAACACUCUUCACAAAUAUUGCAGGAAAAAAAAGGAUAUUUCAGUCAGACAUGCUGUUGCUAAUUAUAUUUGAAGAUCACAUGACGGAAGCAAAAUGGUUGAAGAUUAGUGGCAACAGUGGGAAUUGGAACCCUUCAGGUUAUGAAAUUGUGGUGUUAUGCUCAUCUUUCUCUUUUGUGGGGUUUUCAUGCCUUUGGUUCACCUUACACCUCAUGUAAGGUGAACCAAAUUUUGCAGCUGAGGCUUCCCUGUCUGUCCAUUUCUAAUCUGAGAAACUUGAUCCCGUCUGGUUAAAGACGGGCCACAGAAAUAAUUCUUCCUCUUUCCCUUCCAUGAUAUACUUACAUUGAAUUGGAAACAAAUACUCAGAAUAAGCUUUGAUGAGUUAAAUCAUAGAUGAAAGAGCAAAGGGGGGUGGGAUGUGUUUUAACAGUUCUGUAAUUCUGACAGCUCUUUUAGGAGGGUGUCCAAAACCUGUUGUUACAUGAUUGUGGGAAGCACAGAAAUAGGUAAAACGUAUUCUUUUCAUGAACCUUUCACUACUGCCAUUUUGUGAUUUUUCUUCUUAAAAGCAUUGGCAUGAAAUGUGAACUCAAUUAUUAAUUUUCAAUUUCUGAAGCUGCCCAGUCCACUGCUGGGUUAUCAAGCAAGAGUUCAACAAGAUACAUGGCUCAUUUCCAGGAUUCAAAGACCAUUUGGUUUGGACAAGUAACCUUCCAUGCAGACUUUUCAAUGACAGAAAGCCCUGGAAGGAUAUGCUGCCUGGAAACAUGCUAAGAAAGGCUAAACGAGAACGUUAGAUAUAAAGAACAGUGGGGCCACCUCAGGAGAUCACCAUCCCCUUGAGACUCUGAGCUGAAUGGGAAGAACAAGAUCCACACCAUCAACACGUACACCCCACCAGUCAUAAGACACCCUGUCGGUAUAGUGAGCUGGCCAGAGGAGGACAUGGAGGCUGCUGAUGUGAAGACAUGGAAGCUCCUCUCAAUGUACGGAGG